UGAAUAUGAAAACAAAACAAGACCAAUACAACAACUUUGUGAUCAAGAUGCCCACAUUCAGCAUUAUGACAAUUCAUGCCAGAACAAGAUUCAAUUAAUAAAGCCUUCAACCUAUACCUUUUUUUCUUGACUCUGAUAAAUAUCUCAAAAUAUUUGAAUUUUUCAUGUACAUUGUGUUCAUAAUCAUACUAUAAUCAAAUCAUUAUUUAUAGCAUUAGGACGGUGAUUAGCAUCGAGUAGAUUCUCCAGUGAUCUGGCUUUUCUAUUUCGAACUCUACCAGCCUCUUUUAGUAGCUCAGCCAACCUUUUCUUUUCGUCAGCAACGUCUGGAUUUGCUGUCCCUAGCUUUUCCUCUCUCACCCCAACAAUGUAUUCCAAUAUUUCAAUAGCCUCAUCCAACCUGCCAACAGCAUCAUAUGUGCCAGCAAGGUUGCUGUACACUCCCAACGUCUCGGGGUGAUAAGGUCCAUAUUCUUGCUCCAGAAUGACCUUUGAUUCUUCAAACAACUCGACUGCCUCAUUUAUUGCAUACCGCUGUACACAAGCAAGCCCCAUUUGGUUAAGGGCGACUCCGAAGAAUGCUGAUUUCUUCUCUCCACUUGCUCUGAGCUUUGAAAUGGCACUUUUAAAGGAGUUGUAAGAUUCAGAAUAUUUUCCUAACAUAUAAUAGAUCACCCCCAUUUGGGCUUCGAUACCCGCUAUGGUGUUCUGCUGCCCAGGAGCAUUGUUAUAAAUCUUCAGCGCUCUCUGUAGCAACUUGAGCGCCUGAUCAAGCUCAUUCAUCGACUCAUAAAUAGCAGAAACAUCAGUAAGACCAUUAGCAAUCUCCUCUGGAGCAAUCCCAGGUAUGGGCUUCCCAUAUGUUCUGAGGGCAUUUUCACAGUAUGACUUUGAGUCCCUUAGCUUUCCCGUCCUGUUGUACAAGUCAGCCAAACGGACAAAAACAGAUGCAACGGCGGGAUGGUUUUCUCCUUUGCUAGACUUGAGAGCUGUGAGUGCCUUUUGGUAAGCGAAAAUGGCUUCAUCAUACCUAUUCAGAGACAAAUAUGUGUCUCCAAUGCUACAAUCAACAGAUGCCACCUCAGAUUCCUGCCCAUUUGCUACCAUGGCCAUACUGGCCAGAACAAGAUGCUCGAGAGCAGCCUCAUGGUCUCCCUUUGACUCACAAAUUAGUCCCAUCAGCCUCCUGUCUGCAGCUUCCUCUAGUGAAGGUGGCGAACCGUUCUCUUUAUGUAUGUCAAGAGCCAUCUGACAAAGCUUCUCCGCUUCAUCGAACUGCAAAGCCUGAACAUGAGCCUCAGCAAGAUAUCGACAAGUCUCACCAACUCUGGGAUCACUAUCUCCCAACACUUGUCUUUGGAUUUCCAUACCGGUGGUAUAAGAAACAAUCGAGUUCUCAAGUUGGCCCAACAUUGCAUAAGUAUCACCCAAUUG
rnacentral:misc_RNA from 1 species